GGCUACACACGUGCUACAAUGGGUAGAACAGAGAGUUGCAAAGCUGUGAAGUGGAGCUAAUCUCAGAAAACUAUUCUUAGUUCGGAUUGUACUCUGCAACUCGAGUACAUGAAGUUGGAAUCGCUAGUAAUCGCGAAUCAGCAAUGUCGCAGGUGAAUACGUUCUCGGGUCUUGUACACACCGCCCGUCACACCACGAGAGUUGGUUGCACCUGAAGUAGCAGGCCUAACCGUAAGGAGGGAUGCUCCGAGGGUGUGAUUAGCGAUUGGGGUGAAGUCGUAACAAGGUAUCCGUACGGGAACGU
rnacentral:rRNA from 1 species